AUUGAACGCUGGCGGCAGGCCUAACACAUGCAAGUCGAACGGUAACAGGAAGCAGCUUGCUGCUUCGCUGACGAGUGGCGGACGGGUGAGUAAUGUCUGGGAAACUGCCUGAUGGAGGGGGAUAACUACUGGAAACGGUAGCUAAUACCGCAUAACGUCGCAAGACCAAAGAGGGGGACCUUCGGGCCUCUUGCCAUCGGAUGUGCCCAGAUGGGAUUAGCUAGUAGGGGGGGUAACGGCUCACCUAGGCGACGAUCCCUAGCUGGUCUGAGAGGAUGACCAGCCACACUGGAACUGAGACACGGUCCAGACUCCUACGGGAGGCAGCAGUGGGGAAUAUUGCACAAUGGGCGCAAGCCUGAUGCAGCCAUGCCGCGUGUAUGAAGAAGGCCUUCGGGUUGUAAAGUACAUUCAGCGGGGAGGAAGGCGAUAAGGUUAAUAACCUUGUCGAUUGACGUUACCCGCAGAAGAAGCACCGGCUAACUCCGUGCCAGCAGCCGCAGUAA
rnacentral:rRNA from 1 species